rnacentral:rRNA from 2 species
AGGUAGGCGGCGUGCUAAUACAUGCAAGUCGAGCGAACUGAUUAGAAGCUUGCUUCUAUGACGUUAGCGGCGGACGGGUGAGUAACACGUGGGCAACCUGCCUGUAAGACUGGGAUAACUUCGGGAAACCGAAGCUAAUACCGGAUAGGAUCUUCUCCUUCAUGGGAGAUGAUUGAAAGAUGGUUUCGGCUAUCACUUACAGAUGGGCCCGCGGUGCAUUAGCUAGUUGGUGAGGUAACGGCUCACCAAGGCAACGAUGCAUAGCCGACCUGAGAGGGUGAUCGGCCACACUGGGACUGAGACACGGCCCAGACUCCUACGGGAGGCAGCAGUAGGGAAUCUUCCGCAAUGGACGAAAGUCUGACGGAGCAACGCCGCGUGAGUGAUGAAGGCUUUCGGGUCGUAAAACUCUGUUGUUAGGGAAGAACAAGUACGAGAGUAACUGCUCGUACCUUGACGGUACCUAACCAGAAAGCCACGGCUAACUACGUGCCAGCAGCCGCGGUAAUACGUAGGUGGCAAGCGUUAUCCGGAAUUAUUGGGCGUAAAGCGCGCGCAGGCGGUUUCUUAAGUCUGAUGUGAAAGCCCACGGCUCAACCGUGGAGGGUCAUUGGAAACUGGGGAACUUGAGUGCAGAAGAGAAAAGCGGAAUUCCACGUGUAGCGGUGAAAUGCGUAGAGAUGUGGAGGAACACCAGUGGCGAAGGCGGCUUUUUGGUCUGUAACUGACGCUGAGGCGCGAAAUGCUGGUACACGG